UACGUAGGGUGCAAGCGUUAAUCGGAAUUACUGGGCGUAAAGCGUGCGCAGGCGGCCAUUCAAGACAGAUGUGAAAUCCCCGGGCUCAACCUGGGAACUGCAUUUGUGACUGCAUGGCUAGAGUACGGUAGAGGGGGAUGGAAUUCCGCGUGUAGCAGUGAAAUGCGUAGAUAUGCGGAGGAACACCGAUGGCGAAGGCAAUCCCCUGGACCUGUACUGACGCUCAUGCACGAAAGCGUGGGGAGCAAACAGG
rnacentral:rRNA from 1 species